AUAGCUCUUUUGUUACAGUAAGCUAAAUUUUAAGCCCUAGUUUUAUUUUUUAAACUGGACAGUGUACCAGUUAUCUUGUUUCUGGUGUUUAAGUGCUACAAAGAGUUAUGGGCAACAGAGUCUGGGGUAGAAUCAUCAGUUCCAGGUAGACAAGUAAGUGUGAAAGUAAGACCACUGUGAAUGCAGCAUCUACUCUGAACCUGGCCAACUCUGAGACUAGAAGUCAUGUUCCUGCUAAGAUGAGGCUAGUAUUGUUGACAUGAUUUUUUUCCACAGUCACAGGAUGAGGAAACCAGAUCCUCAUGAGUGAGUCUUAAACAUGAGAUCACAAGAUAAAACAGGAGCUAAAUCAAGUAAAAGGGAAUGGAAAAGAAGUAAUAAGCACCAGCUGAAGCAGAUUUAAAAUUGCAUGUGUGUGUGUGCGCGCUGUGGGGCAACAAAAAAAAUUAAGAGAGAAAAGGAAGAGAUCUCCAAAAAUGGGCAUGGAAAGAGUAAUAGAAGAUCCCUGCCAUGGAAGAAUGGAGGACUUCUGAGGGAGACACAUCUGAUAAGGAAGAAGAAGGAGGGACAUCUGAGGGAAAGAAGAGAAGCAGCCAAACUGGAAGGCCAGAGUUUCCCUGGAAGUGACUUUACACUAAGGUUGUUGGUGUCAUUAACAGUGAGGCACUUUCGAACUUUGAGACAACAGAUUUUGAGGUACAGUUUUUUAAACCAAGCAAGCCUCUCUGCAUCUUUUCAUUGGUAA